GAUGAACGCUGGCGGCGUGCCUAAUACAUGCAAGUCGAGCGAACAGACGAGGAGCUUGCUCCUCUGACGUUAGCGGCGGACGGGUGAGUAACACGUGGAUAACCUACCUAUAAGACUGGGAUAACUUCGGGAAACCGGAGCUAAUACCGGAUAAUAUAUUGAACCGCAUGGUUCAAUAGUGAAAGACGGUUUUGCUGUCACUUAUAGAUGGAUCCGCGCCGCAUUAGCUAGUUGGUAAGGUAACGGCUUACCAAGGCAACGAUGCGUAGCCGACCUGAGAGGGAUCAGGCGCACAAGGAAUGAGACACAUGGCCAAGACUCAUGGGGGGCGGAGCAGUGGGAACUUUCCCAAUGGGCGGGAGACUGUCACGGGACAGCGCCGCGAGAGAGGUGGGGUUUCUGGGCUCAUAACACUGUUAUAAGGGGAAAAAAAAAGUGUGUGAGUAUCUACACGCCUUUAGAGGAUCCAAUGAAAGAACCCCACGUAAAACCGC
rnacentral:rRNA from 1 species